rnacentral:rRNA from 1 species
UACGGGGGGGGCAAGCGUUGUUCGGAAUUACUGGGCGUAAAGGGCUCGUAGGCGGCCAAUUAAGUCAGACGUGAAAUCCCUCAGCUUAACUGGGGAACUGCGUCUGAUACUGGUCUGGCUUGAGUGCAGGAGAGGAACGCGGAAUUCCAGGUGUAGCGGUGAAAUGCGUAGAUAUCUGGAGGAACACCGGUGGCGAAGGCGGCGUUCUGGAUUGCAACUGACACUGAGGAACGAAAGCCAGGGGAGCAAACGGG